UACGGAGGAUGCGAGCGUUAUCCGGAUUUAUUGGGUUUAAAGGGUGCGUAGGCGGGCUGUUAAGUCAGCGGUCAAAUGUCGGGGCUCAACCCCGGCCUGCCGUUGAAACUGUCAGUCUUGAGUACCGGAGAGGUCAUCGGAAUUCCUUGUGUAGCGGUGAAAUGCGUAGAUAUAAGGAAGAACACCAGUGGCGAAGGCGGAUGACUGGACGGCAACUGACGGUGAGGCGCGAAAGCGUGGGGAGCAAACAGG
rnacentral:rRNA from 1 species